UUACUUCAGCAGUACAUAUACUAAAAUCGGAACAAUACAGAUUAGCAUACUCUCUGUGCUAGGAUGACAUGCAAAUUGAUGAAGUGUUUGAUAUUUAG
ensembl:snRNA U6 U6 spliceosomal RNA